UAAUAUAUGGUCAAAAUUGCAAUUAUAUUGGGGCUUUUUGAUUACUCAUUUUUUUUAUGGAAGACUUUUAUUACUCAUAACCUUUCAAACUUAAUUUGCAACAGGCAGAGUGGCAAUUUUAAUCUUCUGUGUCCUUUUCAAAAGCCUCUGCAGUGUGUAACUGCAGAACAUCAGGAUGUUUGCUUGGACCUUCGUGACUUGUGAGGCUUUUGCUGACAGAAGCUGUGUUUCCAUGCUGGGGUACCUGCCCACUAUUGACUUGAAGGGCUGGGGUUGUUGGCAGGCUGCCAUGGGGAAUUGGUGGACAUCAUAAUGCCACUGGUCAAGUCCAUGGCUCUCAGAAAUAAAAACAUGUGGAGCUCAAGCACUAGAUUGUUUUGCAGAGGUGCUGCUUGCUCAGGUAUCUCAGCAAAGGACUCCUCACAUCACUGCAGAGUGGCUAGGAUCUGCAGGCCAGUACAGGAAAACCCAUUUUUAAAUGAAGAUUCAUUUCAUUUCAUUGUCAUGUCAUGUAAGGUUGCAGCUCACUGAGAGGCUUCCAUACAUCUGCACUUCUAUUACCCUAUUUAGUUACUGUGUUCUGUAUGAGAAAUUAAGGGGAAAAAAUGGGCACA